rnacentral:rRNA from 1 species
CCUACGGGAGGCAGCAGUGAGGAAUAUUGGUCAAUGGGCGGGAGCCUGAACCAGCCAAGCCGCGUGAGGGAAGAAGGUACAGCGUAUCGUAAACCUCUUUUGUCAGGGAAUAAAGGCGGGCACGAGUCCCUUGAUGAGGGUACCUGAUGAAAAAGCAUCGGCUAACUCCGUGCCAGCAGCCGCGGUAAUACGGAGGAUGCGAGCGUUAUCCGGAUUUAUUGGGUUUAACGGGAGCGCAGGUGGGCCGUUAAGUCAGGUGGGAAAGCCCGGGGGUCAACCUCAGGAGAGCAGUUGAUACUGGCGGGCUGGAGUACAGGAGAGGUACGCGGAACGCGCGGUGUAGCGGUGAAAUGCUUAGAUAUCACGCAGAACCCCGAUGGCGAAGGCAGCGUACUG